GAUGAAGAACGUAGCGAAAUGCGAUACGUAAUGUGAAUUGCAGAUUUCAGUGAAUCAUCGAAUCUUUGAACGCACAUUGCGCCCGCCAGCAUUCUGGCGGGCAUGCCUGUUCGAGCGUCAUUUCAACCCCUCAGGCCCUGGUGCCUGGCGUCGGGGCUCUCCCUCGCGGGAGGCCCCCAGAGACAGUGGCGGACCCGCCGCGGCUCCGAGCGCAGUAGUAAAAUAUCUCGCUUAGGAGGCCCGCGGAGGAGCUUUCCGGCCGUAAAACCAGGUCUGCAAAGACCGACCCCACCAAGGUUGACCUCGGAUCAGGUAGGAAUACCCGCUGAACUUAAGCAUAUCAAUAAGCGGAGGA
rnacentral:misc_RNA from 1 species